rnacentral:rRNA from 1 species
ACGCGACCCCAGGUCAAGCGGGGCUACCCGCUGAGUUUAAGCAUAUCAAUAAGCGGAGGAAAARAACUACAGGWUCCC